rnacentral:rRNA from 1 species
GAUGAACGCUGGCGGCGUGCCUAAUACAUGCAAGUCGAGCGAACGGACGAGAAUCUUGCUUCUCUGAUGUUAGCGGCGGACGGGUGAGUAACACGUGGAUAACCUACCUAUAAGACUGGGAUAACUUCGGGAAACCGGAGCUAAUACCGGAUAAUAUUUUGAACCGCAUGGUUCAAAAGUGAAAGACGGUCUUGCUGUCACUUAUAGAUGGAUCCGCGCUGCAUUAGCUAGUUGGUAAGGUAACGGCUUACCAAGGCAACGAUGCAUAGCCGACCUGAGAGGGUGAUCGGCCACACUGGAACUGAGACACGGUCCAGACUCCUACGGGAGGCAGCAGUAGGGAAUCUUCCGCAAUGGGCGAAAGCCUGACGGAGCAACGCCGCGUGAGUGAUGAAGGUCUUCGGAUCGUAAAACUCUGUUAUUAGGGAAGAACAUAUGUGUAAGUAAAUGUGCACAUCUUGACGGUACCUAAUCAGAAAGCCACGGCUAACUACGUG